GUGUCUGGUCUGUGAUGUUUUUUCUGUUUUUUUUCUGCACAAGGACAUCCGAUUUAAAAAAAAAGUACAGUUGCACCGAAUCCACAAAACCAUGGUUGUCAAGCAGCAUCUCGAUGCUACAGAUAAUACACGAAAACUGGAAUUCCCCUGACACUUGAAGUCUCAAUCAGUGCCACAAAAGCAAUCUCUGAUGGAUGCUGCACAUGUUCUAAUGGCCAGAGUAGGCACUGUGGACAUAUUGUGGGCUUGCUGUACCAGCUUUCUCAUUUUAAGAUAACAGGAACAAACUACAUUCCUGAGGUCAUCUUGACAAUGAAGAGGGAUGGUCUGAGACUAUUUCUAGGAUGCUGCAAAAACAUCACUGCCCCAGACAUGGCACAUCUCCAGAGGAGAAAAGAUAAGAGGGAGGCAGUGGAUGAAAUCAAAAUCCUCAGCUUUAAGUCUGACAAGAAGUCAGACCAUAGUAUUUGCAAUACAUACAGGUACAAUCCAUUGUGUUCAGAGUUUCCAUCCGCCCUUUGUCUUGUUGAGAGUUUAAAAGCUGCCACAGAUAGUAAGUUCCUGUUGUUUGAUUAAGAAUUUUAUUUGUUGUGUUGUACAAGAUCUGCAUAACGAGAACUUUAUACUUUAACAAGUAAUCACACCCUGUCUGUUUUCAUUACAAGAUCAUCCAUUAAUACAAUGCAACAAAAGUUUACCUCUGAUUUGUGUUGUCAUUUGCUUGUGACAUGGGAUGGCGAACUGCAGGCUGAUUUCUUUCUUUUCCACAUUGAAAGUUUUCCCAUGUAAACAAACUUGGUACAGCAUCUGAUUUAAGUCUUCUUUGUUUUCCUUUUAAGGUCAAAGGGCAAAAAUCUUCUGGCACAAAAAGCCUGCUACAAACCAUUGUCCAAUUUCUGAUCUGAGGAAAAAACAUAUAGUCAUGUUAUCAUAAACAUUUACAUGUAUGAUUUUGUGCUUAUGGUUUUGCCUUUAAGCCGUUUUUAAGUGAUUUUCACAUCAUUACUUUUAAUCACUGUUGACUAUGUUGUGAAACUAGUAAUCCUUCUAUUUAAAUUAUGUAUGAUAGAGUGUAAAGGAAUGGCGAUUGAUUCAAAAUUAAUUAGUCGUGCAGCAGCAACAAAGAUAUAGAUUUCACUACAAAAUAAGUUGCAAUACUGGUAAUAUAUGUCAGCCUUUUUGAACAUUUCUGCAGCAUUUUAAUGUAACAGCACUUUAAUAAUACAAAGUAAUGCGUUUUCAGUAAUACGAAAUGGCUAUGCCCACAUGAUGUAAGUUUAAACUACGAGCACAAUAGGUAUUCUGAAAUCAUAGUUUUAAAUCAAUUAGAAAGAUUAACGAUGAUUCAGAUGGCAUGGAAAAAAGUGAUGUUGCGAAAGAAGAAAAAGACUAAUAGUGAUAGGGAAUUUGAAACCUCGAUCAUGGCUACCCGAAAG